CGGCCGGCGGCGCGAUCGGCACGCGCGCAUGCGCCGUUGCUGCGGGCGGGGGGGCGCUGCCGAGGAGCCGGCGGUGUGAGGGUGGGGUGGUGCUGAGGCGGGAAAGCGUCCUGCCGUUCCUGAGGACGUCUCAUCUUGCGGUGUCCCCUUGACUGCAUUACUUCAUUCCUGUGAGGAAGCAUUGAAUACCUGCCUGUUCUGGAUCACGCAUGUUCCUUACUCUUCCUGUGAAAGAGGAACAGUCAAAGAUGCAAAAUGCCAGCAACUACUGAAUAACCAGAAUGCUACUCUGGUGUUCCUGAAAGAAAUGGAGCUUUCCCAGAUAAAGCAUUCAGAAGGAGCAAUGGACCAAAUUGAGCAAGGUUAUCUCAUUAUCAGGACAAAACUGUCUUACAAGAAUGUGGAGAUUACUUCAAGAAAAAUAAUCAAAUGUAUACAAAACAUAAGAGCAAAUGUUCCUGUGAUUCUGAAAGGAUGCAGGGAUUCUAUCUGAAAGUUCACUACUAAAAUGAAGGACAUCUAGUAUUCAUGAACACAUCUAUAAUCAAUCCAUGGUGCAAAGAAGAGUGGGACAGCUUUGCCAGAGUAGGGUGCUGGUGUCAUGGACUUUAUAGAGAAAAGAUUUAUUUGGGGGAGGAAGAAAGACUCCUGGGUCAGACUCUCUCCCCACUGACACAAAUAUUCAAAGAACUGCUAGAGACCUCAUCAUUACAGUUCACUUCUCCAUACUCCUCGUGAAUAUUAAUCCUCAAUCCUUGGAAGCUAUUUUGGUACUGUAAAAACUAAUGCCACCUUUUCUUAAGCAGCAGAGGCAUAUCCCCCUAAAUUUUAACCUUAAAGCUUGGGGAAGCAGACACUUCACAUAAAUGUUCUCUCUGAUCUCCCAUGACUUUUCAGGCUGACAAAUCUUUUAUAUAGUCACAUACAUAUUCUUUUGGCAACACACGUAGAGCUGAAUCCUGCAAGGAGGCACCUCUUGGUGUGGUGCAGUCUGAGGCUUCAGUCUGAAGAACAUGGUAACAGAUACAGUGAAGUGAGACUGGCCAAGCAAAAUUUCAUGUUUUUAAGAUGGUAACUUUUAAAUACCACGCUCUUUGAAUUCCAAACUUUUUAGAUACUGUUUUAGGGUAGAAGCACUUCAGCGAGGUUCAAAAACCUGGGAAGGACAAAUGGAGUCUCUAUUUCUCAUUACUGCACUAAGGGGAAGUGCAGGGUCUGCAGACCUGCCGAGGCAGGAGGGAACGCCCGUCCUCCCCGCUCACCACAGGGGCAAGGAGGGAAAGCGGGCAGACACAGACACGCUGUCCCCUGGAGUAACAGGAGACAUUAAUAACGCAGAAGGAUGGGUGAAACAGGUGGAAGGAUGUAACAUCGGAGACUGCCAAUGCUGCUGGAAUGUGGUGCGGUGCAGGAACGGGACAGAAUGCAGAGGAGAAAGUCAAAAGCAUGUGGGCAUAUGGACAAACAAGAUGAUGUCUCUACAGUUUGCAUACAAGAAGAUCCAUGAAGGAUCUUCUUCUCUGAUGCAUGGGAACAGUAACCUGUUUAUUGAGGAAGAAUGGAAGUGAGAAGUAGCAUGCACAAGUGAAAAUGGCAGUCUCAUGAAUCAAUGGAGGUGUUUGGAUUGUUUUAUAAUAAGCCAGUGGUAGAAAAAAAGAAUUCUCAUAAGCAGUUUGAUUCUGUAAAGAAAGGGAUGAUUCAGUGGGAUUAGUUUAUCAAAUAAGAAUAUAGAUUUAUUGUUUUCUAAAAAUAUAGUCUUUGUUUCUUAUAAAUGCUACUGAGGUCCUUUCUCUUCCUAGAAUCUCUAAAGCAGCCAAUCUGCGUUUUACUGGAGUAAUGUCACCAGUUAGCCUCUGCUGUGAGCCUCUGCUCUGGUAGUUACUUUACAUUAGGCUCCAAUCCUGGAAUGCAUUUUUGAUGCAGACCCUUCAUAUGCUGGCUUGGAGAAAAGUUUGUGCACUGAGCUCAAGACUGAUGGGUUGCAUCCAAAUUUCAAGCAGUGGUAAUCAGAUAAAGAGGACACAGGAAAAAAUCCUACAAAUUCCUUUCAAUAUUUAUCUGAAACAAUUCUUUUUCUUUCUCCUCAAGUCUAUCAUCUGAUGGUAAAAAUAACAAUCACAAAAGCACAUAACAUGCCUGUUCUCAAAGUAAUCAGAAAACAGUAGGUCAAUAAUGGAACAUUUAGCAACUAUCACUCUGGGGCCUUGACACAUACCAGAUGAAAAGUGUUUGCCUCAGUCAUUUUUUGUAGAAGAAUGAGUGUCAUUGUGAUACAUCAUCAAAGGAAUCAUUGUCUCCUGCUUUCUGCUAACUCUUUUUCAUAAAUAUUCUGAAUUUACACCCUAUUCCUAACUUAAUAUGAACCAUUGCCAGGUUCAAAGAAUUCUCUUCUUCUCUGCAGACAGUAAAACAUUCUGUUUUUAGUCUGUAUUUUGCUUUAUAUACUCCUAAUAGUGGAACUAACAAUUUGCCAUUGAUUAUACAUAACUAUAAGAGGGUAAAAAUUGUUUUUAACUGUUUCUAAAUUCCAGUCCGAGAACUGAAAUAUAGCUAAAAACACUGGAACUAGUUAGAUCAGACAGCAAAAGUAUUUGAAAUUAUCCUUGGUAAACACUUAAACUGCACCUUCAAACUCAGAACAGUUUGCUUGAAUGCUCUUUGUAUUUUUCCUAAUCUCUUUGUACUCCACCUUGAUAGCUAAACUUUGUUAGGCUCAUUUUCAGUGUACUUUGAUCUUAUGAAUUUUGGUUUGUACCCUGGUUGAGUCAGCCCACGAUCUGAUUAUUUGUUUGCUUGAGGCUCUCUCUUGUCCAGAAUCUCAGCUGUCACUUGAACAGGUCAAAUGGGUAUUUGUUCUAUGCUGCUUAUUGUCUACCAGUAUCCCGAUGCAGGUACAGAAACUUAGUUCUGUGCAAUCCUUUUUCAUUUGGUUUGCAAUAGAGACAGGUUUGCUUUCUAGUUAAUUAUUUCUAAUCUAGCUGGACAACCUCGGGAAGAAAAAUAAGAAAGUCUCCUGAGAGUUCACUUAUUCUUGUCCACAUACAUAGAGAUAGCCUAAAUAUUUCACUCUGAAGAUAUAUAUUUGCAAAUACUGCAAUAAGCUGACACAUAGGUGUUUGUUGAUAGCUAUGAGGCAUCUUUCCUCCAUUGUCCUGGUAGAAAAGGUUCCAGCCAGUGACCAGCAAAGGAAUUUUUUGUAAAACCCAGCAGCUGGCAACACCAGCUCCCCAAAAGCACCUGUAGCUUGACAGGAGGCACUCACUGGUCCUGAAGUCCUCUAAUCACUUCUGCAGCAAAGAGUCCCUAGGAGUUGCUUCUAUAGGGCUGCCUUUCACCUGGACCCUAAAUACAGCAUCCAAAAUUUAUGAGCCUAACUCAAACCUAAUUACAACAUUAAAUGAGCUUAUAAGUAAAAAUUAAACAUUUGUUUUAGCAAAUUAUCCAUUCAGGUGUCUAAUUACAAGAUUAAAAACAAAGCAACUCCUGUGUCAAGUUUAAGAGUCAGAUUAAUAGUUACACUUUCUCAUGUACAGUACUCAAGUAAUGCCCUGGCCAUUAAAACAAGGACUUGAACUUCAUAGCAGUAUCUUAUUUUCUAAAUGGUUAUCCCCAAAUCUGGACCUCUUCUUUUGGCUUCAGAUCCAAAAGUAGAGUUUUUGUACUUCCUCCUCCCUCUCAAUGUCAGGAAGAAGCUUGCAAGGAUUAGCUCAAGGUUUGAUAUUCAAAGCAUUUGUUGAGAUAUUACCCAUGUCUCAUCUUCCUAAUAGAAAGUCUUUUGUAUUGCAGUUUUAGCAAGGUCGUCCUCCACAGAUAGCAUAGUACACAUUCUAAAAUGCUCUCUUGACAUUACGAUGUUUCACAUACCACACACCACAAAAACCAUUGCUUUACAAUAGCUCUGUUAAGCUCAUUUGCUUUCCAUUUUAUUAAUACAGUUAUCAGAGUUGGUAGUAGACCAAGCAGUCAUCUCCUCCUGUUUGCUGUCAAAUUUAGGAGUUUCCUGUGUAACAAAUACCUUUCCUUAAAGCAGAUACCAUCAAAACUGAACCCAGAUUAUACAGUCCUAACAUCAUAACACUCUAAUUUCCAUUGCCGUUUUCAUGCAUCCAAGGCACUCCUAGCUUUUUACACAUCCCAGGGAACAGUAUUCUGGAAAUUAUUUUCAAUACCUGCUGAGGUUUCUUUCUUAGAGGAUCUCACAAUAUCAGGUCCUGAAGAAGGUCAAAUUUAUGAAAUCCAUAAUAUUUCACAGGAAAAACAGAUUUAUUAAAUUAUUCUGCAUCCAAUCACUGAAUUCUGGUGUUAUGCUUGAAUACUGUUUCUCACCAGCCUUCAUAUUUUAAACAGAAAAACCUUAAUACUAUCACGAAGCUUCAGUCUGUUGUCCACAUCCUCUUCCAGAUCACUAAUAUACAUGGAAGUAACACUACUGAGCCUUGAAGGGUCCCACUCUGUAUUCAGAGUGGAACUUGAAAGAUUAGAAAGGUUUGAUUUUUCCUUCCUAGCUGUAUGUACUUGACUCUGUAAGAUUAUGCUUUGUUUAUCCAAUUGUUGGCCUACCUUUAGAAUCAGUUUUCCUUGAAAUGAGGCUCAGUUUAAUUCUUAGGAUGUCCCUCAGACCUUCUAGAGCAAAUUUACUAUCUUUAGAAAAAGUGUUUCCAAGCGAUCUUACAUAUUUUUGGCAGUAUCUGUGCUGUUUCAUAGUCUCCUUCAGAAGUCUCUAAUGAAUACAGCGAAUCAAAAUUUAGAGAAAUAUUCCAGACAAGCGUAGGAAUUAUUCCCAAUGGUAUAUUUAGCAUUUUUGUUCUAGAUUCAACAGCUUGAAGCAGAGACACUUUCUCCAUUUCCCCUUGAAAAUCAUUUCAUAGCCUAGCAGCUCCGUUAAAAUAUAUUUUAGAUUUUUAUCUACAUACAAUUUCCUUAAUUUCAUCUGAACAUUUCUAGUUGUGUUUCCUUGCACCAUGGUGAAUAAUCAGUCUCCAACUCCCAUGGGAAUUAUAUUGUCACUUAGCGACUAUUUUGUCUACCUUCUACAUUUGUAGACUGAUUUAUUUUUUCUUUACAAGUCUCUUUGACCCUGCAAUGGUAUUUUUGCUGAUGUUCUUGAACAUCUCGCUAAUUGUAUCCCUUCUACAGACCUUUGCUGAAAUGUCUUCCAGCUCUUGUCUCAUCAGGUUCGAUACAGACCACCUCAUGAUUUAAAUUUCUGGGUACUGCACUGUUCUUUGGUGUUGACAAUGUCUCAAGUAUUGCGUUUCAAAUUCAGACACAAUUUUCCGUCCACUGCCACCUCUUUCAGCAUUCUUAAUUGUUCUUUCAGUUAAGCUUCUUUGUUUUGGCUUAUCUUUCUCCUAACGUAUUCACUUAUAUAUAAUCAGGUCUUAGUAAUUUACUACAGCUAUGCUUCUCCAUUUGUCUCCAUAACAGAUUCCUUAGCCAAUCUGUAUUAAAAACACAAUUUAGAUUUUGCAUAGUGUAAGUCUGAUCCAAAAGAAAUCAUAUUUAGUUUAGCCUCUGUAUGGUGAUGUUUUUUAGUUCUCUACAGGUGUUUUUCCUUUUCCUUCAAACACUGUGUGUUGAAAAUGUAAACAGUUAAUAAAAAAAAUCAGAAUAGAAAACAAAGUGUAAGUAAUGGACACCACUGCGACAUAGCACAUCACCUUCCCCAUCUAAAAUUAAACCUGCUAUCAAAGGGUAAACCCUUAAUGAAUGAAAACUGUGAUAGGCCCUAUUGAAGAUGAUACCUCACAAUAAUAGCUGAGAAUCUGUCCCCUCAUUACUACUACCGUCCACGUACAACUGUCCACUAUAGGACAUAAGGGUUUCCUCUGAUAAUCCAAUGAAUUCUACAUAUGAAACCAUGCAGAAUAUGUAAUAGAUAUCCACAGUACCUACUGAAAAGCAGGGUGGGGUACUUUGGCUAUUCAAACCUGGUCAUCACAUUUUCAACUCUACGCCUCCAGCUCUGAGAUCUGAGCCUUUGAAUUGCUUUAUUUUGUCUCUUUCACGUUUAUCAUAUAAUAAUCUUUUUCCUCUUUUUAUUCCUUACUGGUUUUAAAAAACUGCACAAACAUUUUGAACACUGUAGUAUUAAAAAAAAUGAGUGGAUUACGUUUCAUCUGUAGACAGAAGUACAAUCUAAACCAAGACUGGAGUUUCUGAAAGGACCUGCUACCUGGAACUUCCUCCUCACCUCCUCCUCAUCUUCCAAAGGUUGCUGAAAACUUACACGGCCAGUACAACAGUUUUUUUCUCAUGAUUUAUGUGCUAUAUUUUGCGUUAGCUCUGCUAGAGGGAAUAGCUGUUUUUCCUGGGCACCAGGCCCAGAUUAUAUUUAAUUUUGUCUACAGAUUGUACAGUUUCCCAGAUACUAUACCAGAGAUGAGCAUUUUAUAAGUUAAUAAAACAAUAAAUAAAACAAAAUCUGUUCUUAUGCCUACAAGUAAUAACUAGAACCUUAAAAGCCUUGCCCCUUUUUAUAGUGGUUUCUCUUUGUUACAGCUACUGACUAAAAAAUAUAUUAAAUUAUUUUAAAAUGCUAAAAAAGUAAAUAAUUUAUAGGAUUCCCACAGAAACAGUUCAAAGUUAACCUUAAACUUCUUAAACAAAUAGAUUUAAAGUUCCACUAUUGAAUGCACUAUUAGUGACAUUAUGAAGGAAUCAGUUUGGAUUCCAGUACUAUAUUUUACAUAAUUAUUAUACUUUUAGAAUUAAAAGAGGAAGAAAAAACUUACUGUGUAUUCUGAUUCCCAGUUGUCCAUUUGUAAAAACAGAAUGAGGGAAAAGAAAAAAAAAAAAAGAAAUGUGAAACAAAACAAUGAUGCAAGAUCCUUACAGUAAACACACAAUAAUAAUCAGAAUAUUUGUGUCAUAAUCUGCUGAUUUACAUUUAACUAAAGUCUAUGGGACAAUAAAGGGUAUAAGUCACCACAGAAUCUAAGCACCUGAUGUCUUCUUUGCAAGGAAGAAACUGCAUGGGAAAAAGACUCCAGUCUUUACCUAGUUGCAUUCUUUGUCUAUAAUCUUUAUUUUCUGAUAGCAAUCAAGAUGAGAAGGAAAGAUAUAUGCAGUUCAACAGGAGUUGUAAAAAUUCCUUAAUAUCUGUGGCUCAGUAUGUUACUUGACGCUUUUGAAGAUAAGCUUAACUACCCAAAAAGGAAAAGUCUUCAUUUUCAUUUUCUUUUCAUUUCUGCUUUAUCCCUUACCUGUGAUUGUAUAAGGAUAGUAAUUCCAAGCCUUCUCUGUAACAUAAAAUAUUUUGGGAACAACUGCUCUAGCCCAGCUAGGUAGCUUGCUGAAAAUAAAAAGAAAAUAUAAAAUUAGAAUUUGUUUUGACUUAUGAGAACUGUAGAAAAAAAGACACUUGCCAAACAUGCUCACAGUUGGACAAGCGUUUCACAGGACGCAGCAAUACCAAGACUCCACAACAGUAUCGUUAUCUCACGAAUACACAUUCUGUCUCUGUUUCCUCGACGAGUAUAUAUGAAACCAAGCAUGCUUCUUCCCCUCUCAAAGUGAUCAAUAGGUUGCCAGCGCGGUGACCUCUGAUCAGAUGCAAGCUGCCGUUUCAAUGCCGGUGUCAAGGAUUUGUGGAGUCCCACCUCUGGCGAUGAGGAGCUCAGCAGGUGAAAGGAGGCAAGGUGUCCCCCCGGGCGGGCGCUCCUGGCCACAGGGCGGCACUCUCCACCAAGAGGUCCUCUCCACCAAGAGCUCCUGACUCCCCACUCCAUCCCAGGCCGCUUUCCACUCUGAUUCCAUUAUUUCUCCCUAGGGAAUUCCUCCCUUGCUGGCACACCAACUUUUAUGUUCAACUAACCCAAAACCUCAGUAGGUAGUUUUUCCCAUGCUACCAACACCAUAUCUUGAUUAUGAAGCUUUUAUUUCAAAAUUAACACAUUUCUGAAAACACCUCUGUGAGGCUGUCAGGUAGUAUUAGUCCCACUUUGCUGAUGCUGGAAAAGUAAAUCACAGAAGCAGAGAGAAUUAACGGUACUGAUGUCGUAACUCAGAGCGCAGUGCAGUGGUACAACAGCAGUAGAUUAAGAACAAAAAGACAUGGAGGUGGACACAGCCCAUGGUAAGAUCAUUAAAGGGUAAUUAAAGACUACUGUGGAAGGCUGUGAGCGUUUUUUUACCAUGAAUCUUGGGUCUCUCAUUUCCAGAACUCUGGUUUCAUUGGAAUCAAAGAAGUGAGAAACAUGCAUUUUAAAAUGGUGUAUUUGCAUAAGCUUACAAUCUUUCAACCCUUUCCUCUGACAUCAGUUAUAAUCACUUGAGCUGCCAGCAAUAAAGACAUAGGACUAGUCACUCAAAUGAAGGCAGAGAUUUGGAGACCAGGAAUAUCACUGAACUUCAGGGACCCCAUUAAAAUCAUGUUAGUCAGGCCAAGUGUAGCAGAUCACCCAGCCUAAGGCAGGAUCCUUACUGAAUUGAAGUAGAUACUUUCAAACUUCAAUUUUCCAAGUGUAAAUAUUUGAAACAGUUCUACUUAGAUAGCUGCAUAUGCAGAAAGUAAAAUAACUCUCCAAAAUUUCUGGGGAAAAUAGAGUUUGGAUCAUUAAGGUUUAUUUAACCAUGAUCUAGCUACGUAUAAAUAUUGUAUUUGUCCAGAGGCAAAAUGCAAACAUUAGCACAUUAUCAAAAAAUUCAAGCUCAAGUGCGUUGACUUUUGCUCUUUGAUGGCACUGCUCAAAGCUGGAUUCUUUUCUUUACACAAACCUUUCUUGUGUACAGUCUCUUAAGCAACAUUCAAACUUCACUGUAUCAGAUUUUUUGUUUAUUUUGUCAGUCCUGUGUCUCUUUAUGACCCUCUCUCUGUUCCUUCCUUUAUCCCUGCUAGACUUGACGCUCUCUGAUGCCUAUAUAGUAAGUACCCACGGAUGCAGACUUUCAACUUCUGAGACCCGCACUCCAGCAAGAGAGAAGAGGCAACGAAGUUCAGUCUUUCAGCCCAAAAGGAGGAAGUGUUUCUCAAAGGCAUUCCAGCUGAACCCACAGUGACACUCCUUCAGCAUUUACGGCAGACUGGUGUGAGAAGGUGUCCUAUGGGUGGCUGCAGAAACAAAGCGACCUCCUGAAAAGUAUGUGGCACAACUUGAAAGCCUGGCUGCUUGCACAUCAUAUAAAAAUUGCAGUAGAAUAAAAAUGGGGUAUUUGGGCCAAGAUCAGCUGUGCAAGCAGAGAAGGAUGACUGUCCCUGACACUUCAAAGCCAAGACUGCUAACAGUUUCUUUAUCUUUCUAUCCCUGAAUUUAAUCACAAGAAAGUUAGUUAUUUUAGACCCACGACUGGAAAAUAAAAAUAAGGAAUAAGGGAAAUCAAGGCUUAUUAAUGCAGGAAAGAAAGACGGAGGCAAAAAUGUACACUCUAAUACCUAAUACAUAGGCCGCUUUCCACAGUGGGGCUUGGGGUAGAUUUGGCAAAGUCUUGAGGAGCUGCUGGUUCUCCAUGAGAUAUGCAUCAUCCAAGCCCUCCUUGCCUUAUUGAACUUGAUGUUGUUCUGGGGUCCUUUCAUCCAGACACCAUGCAGUGUUCUAUAUCACUUGUGGAAAGGGCUGAGGUUAUCCAGCUCAACACCGCAUCAGGAGAGCUAGACAUAACUCAUAUUUUCCAUUGUUGCAUUUCCCAGAGAGUACUUUUAGUUGGACUUCCGUAGCUCUGUAGCACGAGGGCAAUUUAUAGCAGGAAGUGCACUAACGCUUUAUCUCUGAAUUCAUUCUGUUCGGCUUGUAGGAACUGGAACAUUUUUUUAAAGUUGAGGAUUCUGAAAAUGUCUAUUUAAAUAGCAGAGUUUCCUACUGUGACCCAAAUGGUCUUUGCUGCAGAAACAAGGAGUAAUAUACAGCUAUAUGUAUCAGUACAAAUAAUGCACAUCUGCAGAUGCAUUACACCAGUGGUAACACACAGAUUAGUAUGUACUUGAGAUAAGCUCCUAUGCAGUCGUACAGGGGGUGGUUUUAUUUGAAUAGCAUAAACUCAAGAUUUAUGAAGGCUCUCGUAAAAGACUCUUAUGAGAAGGCUCUUAUGAAGGGACUGAGUGUGAGUCAGGCAAAGAGGUGUUAUAAGGAGGUAAGUUUUAUCUCUAAAAUGUCAUUGCAUGGAUCAAUCCUGACUCCUUUGAAAUCAGGGGUUACACUACCAGUCCUAAAACAAUCACACCAUCCCUCUAACAGCAGAAAAAAAAGCAUUAUAUUCUCUCAAUUAAAAAAAAAAUUAUAAAUACAAACUUAAGUUUCUGCUGAAACAUAGCAUAAUGGAUAGAUAUAAGGGUUUCUAGUCUCAUAAUACAGACCUGAAAUAAACUGAAAAUCAAAACUUUCCAAAAUACUGAAAAAAACAAUUUUUAACUUUAAAUACUUUUGCAAUGACCUGAUAGAGAAAAAACAGUGAGCUGUAUGCAGUUUAUUUGUAUGCAGUUGCAUACAAAUUAUUACUUCUUAUUUAAUAAAAUAUUUCUUUGUCAUAAACAGGUUAUGCUUAGAUGUCAUAAGGGUGUGCAGUAAGGAGAAAACACACAGACUGUCCUUGAAUGAUCAGUGUAAUGGCCACACAUAAUUGUAUUUGCUCUCUUAGGACAUGGAGGGUGUCAAAGAGUGCAAACAAGAAACAGAGCUACAUAUCUUUACACCUAGUUACCAAAUAGGACUGGCACAGAAGGAAGGGUGAAAUGGAAAAUAUGUAUCUGCUAGGGAGCUUUGGCGCACAAAGAGAGGAGGGUUGCGCAUCAAAGAUGAGGAGUUUAGUUUUGUCUGACUACUCCUCAGUCCUUAAUCCCUCUCAUUUAUUAAUUUUUUUUCAUUUUUUUCCUGAAAGAACAAAUAUAUUUUUUGCAGACAUUACUAAUUCAUUUGUCACUCACUAAAGAAGAAUAAAUUAAAUCAGUCUUUACAAGAGCUGUCAUUUC